rfam:Verruconis gallopava strain CBS 43764 unplaced genomic scaffold supercont1.32, whole genome shotgun sequence.
UGCCCGGUGGCGCAAUUGGUUAGCGCGUCUGACUGUUAGUCCCAUCCGGAUGAAAUCAGGAGGUUGAGAGUUCAAGCCUCUCCCGGGCAG